rnacentral:rRNA from 1 species
UACGUAGGGCGCAAGCGUUAUCCGGAAUUAUUGGGCGUAAAGAGCUCGUAGGCGGUUUGUCGCGUCUGCCGUGAAAGUCCGGGGCUCAACUCCGGGAUCUGCGGUGGGUACGGGCAGACGUAGAGUGAUGUAGGGGAGACUGGAAUUCCUGGUGUAGCGGUGAAAUGCGCAGAUAAUCAGGAGGAACACCGGUGGCGAAGGCGGUGGGCGUGGGCCGGC